rnacentral:rRNA from 1 species
GAUGAACGCUGGCGGCGUGCCUAAUACAUGCAAGUCGAGCGAACAGACGAGGAGCUUGCUCCUCUGACGUUAGCGGCGGACGGGUGAGUAACACGUGGAUAACCUACCUAUAAGACUGGGAUAACUUCGGGAAACCGGAGCUAAUACCGGAUAACAUGUUGAACCGCAUGGUUCAACAGUGAAAGACGGUUUUGCUGUCACUUAUAGAUGGAUCCGCGUCGCAUUAGCUAGUUGGUAAGGUAACGGCUUACCAAGGCAACGAUGCGUAGCCGACCUGAGAGGGGGAUCGGCCACACGGAAACUGAGACACGGUCCAGACUCCUAGGGGAGGCAGCAGUGGGGAAUCUUCCGCAAUGGGCGAAAGCCUGACGGAGCAACGCCGCGUGGGUGAAGAAGGUCUUCGGAUCGUAAAACGCUGUUAUUAGGGAAGAACAAAUGUGUAAGUAACUAUGCACGUCUUGACGGUACCUAAUCAGAAAGCCACGGCUAACUACGU